rnacentral:sRNA from 1 species
AAGAUCUGAAGGUCGCGUGUUCGAUCCACGCUCACCGCACC